GACGAACGCUGGCGGCGUGCUUAACACAUGCAAGUCGAACGGAAAGGCCCUGCUUUUGUGGGGUGCUCGAGUGGCGAACGGGUGAGUAACACGUGAGUAACCUGCCCUUGACUUUGGGAUAACUUCAGGAAACUGGGGCUAAUACCGGAUAGGAGCUCCUGCUGCAUGGUGGGGGUUGGAAAGUUUCGGCGGUUGGGGAUGGACUCGCGGCUUAUCAGCUUGUUGGUGGGGUAGUGGCUUACCAAGGCUUUGACGGGUAGCCGGCCUGAGAGGGUGACCGGCCACAUGGGGACUGAGGUACGGCCCAGACUGCUACGGGAGGCAGCAGUGGGGAAUAUUGCACAAUGGGGGGAAGCGUGAUGCAGCGACGCCGCGUGCGGGAUGACGGCCUUCGGGGUGUAAACCGCUUUCGCCUGUGACGAAGCGUGAGUGACGGUAAUGGGUAAAGAAGCACCGGCUAACUACGUG
rnacentral:rRNA from 1 species